rnacentral:rRNA from 1 species
GGAAAGAACCAACAGGGAUGCCCUAGUACGGCGAGUGAAGCGGCAACAGCUCAAAUUUGAAAUCUGGCCUCUUUGGGGGUCCGAGUUGUAAUUUGCAGAGGGUGCUUUGGCGUUGGCUGUGGUCUAAGUUCCUUGGAACAGGACGUCGCAGAGGGUGAGAAUCCCGUAUGUGGCCGCCAGUCUUCGCCGUGUAAAGCCCCUUCGACGAGUCGAGUUGUUUGGGAAUGCAGCUCUAAAUGGGAGGUAAAUUUCUUCUAAAGCUAAAUAUUGGCCAGAGACCGAUAGCGCACAAGUAGAGUGAUCGAAAGAUGAAAAGCACUUUGGAAAGAGAGUCAAAAAGCACGUGAAAUUGUUGAAAGGGAAGCGCUUGCAGCCAGACUUGCUUGCAGUUGUUCAGCCGGGCUCUUGCCCGGUCUACUCUUCUGCUCGCAGGCCAGCAUCAGUCCGGGCGGUUGGAUAAAGGCCUAUUAAACGUACCUCCCCUCGGGGAGGACUUAUAGGGUAGGCGACAUGCAACCAGCCCGGAUUGAGGUCCGCGCAUUUGCUAGGAUGCUGGCGUAAUGGCUGUAAGCGGCCCGUCUUGAAACACGGACCAAGGAGUCUAACAUCUAUGCGAGUGUUUGGGUGUCAAGCCCGAGCGCGUAAUGAAAGUGAACGGAGGUGGGAACCUUUCGGGGUGCACCAUCGACCGAUCCUGAUGUCUUCGGAUGGAUUUGAGUAAGAGCAUAGCUGUUGGGACCCGAAAGAUGGUGAACUAUGCCUGAAUAGGGUGAAGCCAGAGGAAACUCUGGUGGAGGCUCGCAGCGGUUCUGACGUGCAAAUCGAUCGUCAAAUUUGGGCAUAGGGGCGAAGACUAUCGA